GACCUUUAAUGGUUUACUUUUAUAAAUUGUUAUUUGGAUGGAGAGUUGUCUUAUUGGCACUCAUACCACAUCUUCCUAUAUACAUGUAUAUAUAUCAUGAGCCAAAAGGUAAAAAAAUAAAGGGUAAGACAAUUAAGAAUAGGGAAUAAUGGAUUUCGGAAAUAAAAGAUAGAAAGUAUUAAUGGGGUUCGAAAAUAAUAAAUUAAGAGAAUAAUUGGGUUCGGAAAUAAAAAAUAGAGAACAAUGGUCAAAAUAAAUAGAGAAUACAGAAAACUGUUCUAUAAAAUUAUGGAAUAUAAAGAAACGAAUCACAAGCCAAUAUUGACUUUAUAUAUUGUUGCAAGACCAUAGGUUCGCCUCUUGGUGUCUUUUU
rnacentral:lncRNA from 1 species